GAGUUUGCUGGGAUUUGGGCCCAUUCCUCUCAUGACUGGUUAAACUGGGAAGCAGACAGAGAGCAGCCAGAGCGAGGUAAGCUGCCACCUAAUUAAGAGGUGACUGACUCAGAGGCGUCUGAUUGAAACUAGGUCGCGUCGACCAGAAGACGUUCAAGAUGCAGAAUGAACUUCCUUCUGAUCCUGGGAAAUCAGCAGAGGCGAUGUUGCUUAGAAACAGAAAAAACAUCACGUCUCUCUGCGGCUUUAAAUGUGAUGAAUGUGACAAAUAAAACCUCAACAUGAAACUC